GACGAACGCUGGCGGCGUGCCUAAUACAUGCAAGUAGAACGCUGAAGGAGGAGCUUGCUCUUCUGGAUGAGUUGCGAACGGGUGAGUAACGCGUAGGUAACCUGCCUGGUAGCGGGGGAUAACUAUUGGAAACGAUAGCUAAUACCGCAUAACAGUAGAUGUUGCAUGACAUUUGCUUAAAAGGUGCAAUUGCACCACUACCAGAUGGACCUGCGUUGUAUUAGCUAGUUGGUGGGGUAACGGCUCACCAAGGCGACGAUACAUAGCCGACCUGAGAGGGUGAUCGGCCACACUGGGACUGAGACACGGCCCAGACUCCUACGGGAGGCAGCAGUAGGGAAUCUUCGGCAAUGGACGGAAGUCUGACCGAGCAACGCCGCGUGAGUGAGGAAGGUUUUCGGAUCGUAAAGCUCUGUUGUAAGAGAAGAACGAGUGUGAGAGUGGAAAGUUCACACUGUGACGGUAUCUUACCAGAAAGGGACGGCUAACUACGUG
rnacentral:rRNA from 1 species